rnacentral:rRNA from 1 species
UACGUAGGGUGCAAGCGUUGUCCGGAAUUAUUGGGCGUAAAGAGCUCGUAGGCGGUUUGUCGCGUCUGCUGUGAAAACUGGAGGCUCAACCUCCAGCCUGCAGUGGGUACGGGUAGACUAGAGUGCGGUAGGGGAGAUUGGAAUUCCUGGUGUAGCGGUGGAAUGCGCAGAUAUCAGGAGGAACACCGAUGGCGAAGGCAGAUCUCUGGGCCGUAACUGACGCUGAGGAGCGAAAGCGUGGGGAGCGAACAGG